rnacentral:tRNA from 1 species
ACCAGUGUAGUAUAGUGGUUUGAGUAUCAGACUACAACUCUGGAGACCAGGGUUCAAAUCCUGGCUCGGUCA